rnacentral:snRNA from 1 species
UUACAUGUUUGGCCCAUGAC